UACAGAGGUCUCAAGCGUUGUUCGGAUUCAUUGGGCGUAAAGGGUGUGUAGGUGGCGCCGUAAGUCGGGUGUGAAAUUUCGGAGCUUAACUCCGAAACUGCAUUCGAUACUGCGGUGCUUGAGGACUGGAGAGGAGACUGGAAUUCAUGGUGUAGCAGUGAAAUGCGUAGAUAUCGUGAGGAAGACCAGUGGCGAAGGCGGAUCUCUGGAGAGUUCCUGACGCUGAGGCACGAAGGCCCAGGGGGAGCAAACGGG
rnacentral:rRNA from 1 species